AGAGACAGCAGCAGCCGCGGGAAUACGGAGGGAGCUAGCGUUAUUCGGAAUUACUGGGCGUAAAGCGCACGUAGGCGGCUUUGUAAGUUAGAGGUGAAAGCCUGGAGCUCAACUCCAGAAUUGCCUUUAAGACUGCAUCGCUUGAAUCCAGGAGAGGUGAGUGGAAUUCCGAGUGUAGAGGUGAAAUUCGUAGAUAUUCGGAAGAACACCAGUGGCGAAGGCGGCUCACUGGACUGGUAUUGACGCUGAGGUGCGAAAGCGUGGGGAGCAAACAGGAUUAGAUACCCCCGUAGUCCCUGUCUCUUAUAC
rnacentral:rRNA from 1 species